UUUUAGGUGGCCGAGGUUAGGCGUUAAAUUUUUAAUUUAGAUACGGUUUUUUAUAACCCCUGAGAUC
rnacentral:tRNA from 3 species